rnacentral:rRNA from 1 species
AGACCCGAAACCCGGUGAUCUAGCCAUGGGCAGGUUGAAGGUUGGGUAACACUAACUGGAGGACCGAACCGACUAAUGUUGAAAAAUUAGCGGAUGACCUGUGGCUGGGGGUGAAAGGCCAAUCAAACCGGGAGAUAGCUGGUUCUCCCCGAAAGCUAUUUAGGUAGCGCCUCGUGAAUUCAUCUCCGGGGGUAGAGCACUGUUUCGGCUAGGGGGCCAUCCCGGCUUACCAACCCGAUGCAAACUGCGAAUACCGGAGAAUGUUAUCACGGGAGACACACGGCGGGUGCUAACGUCCGUCGUGAAGAGGGAAACAACCCAGACCGCCAGCUAAGGUCCCAAAGUCAUGGUUAAGUGGGAAACGAUGUGGGAAGGCACAGACAGCCAGGAUGUUGGCUUAGAAGCAGCCAUCAUUUAAAGAAAGCGUAAUAGCUCACUGGUCGAGUCGGCCUGCGCGGAAGAUGUAACGGGGCUAAACCAUGCACCGAAGCUGCGGCAGCGACGUUUAUGCGUUGUUGGGUAGGGGAGCGUUCUGUAAGCCUGCGAAGGUGGCCUGUGAGGGUUGCUGGAGGUAUCAGAAGUGCGAAUGCUGACAUAAGUAACGAUAAAGCGGGUGAAAAGCCCGCUCGCCGGAAGACCAAGGGUUCCUGUCCAACGUUAAUCGGGGCAGGGUGAGUCGACCCCUAAGGCGAGGCCGAAAGGCGUAGUCGAUGGGAAACGGGUUAAUAUUCCCGUACUUGGUGUUACUGCGAAGGGGGGACGGAGAAGGCUAUGUUGGCCGGGCGACGGUUGUCCCGGUUUAAGCGUGUAGGCUGGUUUUCCAGGCAAAUCCGGAAAAUCAAG